rnacentral:lncRNA from 1 species
UCCAUCACCACCGCCUCCACCAAGUCCUUUUCCACCAAGGCCGCUUCCCCCAAGCCCCCUCCCACCAAGUAAGCCACCCCCAAGUCCACUGCCCCCAAGUCCACAACCCCCAAGCCCGUUGCCAGGAGCUCCAUUACUACCAAGUCCUCCACCACCAAGUCCUCCACCACCAAGUCCUUCACCUCCAAGUCCACAACCACUUAGUCCUUCACCUCCAAGUCCACAACCACCGAGUCCUAAACCACCGAGCCCACAACCACCUUUACUACCCCAGCCGCCUAGCCCAAAACCUCCAAGCCCACCACCAGCAAGUCCACCACCACCCAUACCACCUCAGCCACCUAAUCCUUUUCCUCCGAAACCACCUAACCCAAACCCUCCGAG